GAAGCAUGAGGAUGGGGAGGAGGAUUUGUCGUUCGGAGUGAUCUGUGCAGUGCAGUGCCAGCACAAGCUGGUGACCUUCAAUUUCUCUUCAGUCACCGGAAAAUGGCGUGCCCUUAUGUUCGAUCGUGUGCUUUCUUUGGCCACCGAUAACAUGGCUCUAUACAUUGGAUGCUUCGAGCGCCACUACGCGCACGGAUGCUUCUACUGGACGAUUUAUGGUAGCAGCGGUAUGCUCAUGCAAGACACGCGAGAAAUGAGACUCGCCAGGGUUGAAAUCCCGACCGUCACCUAUCGCCAACAGAAGGCCAUUGUUGAGGCAGGGGAAGGCAGGCUUGGUCUGCUAGCUCUUGGUGAUUGCAUGUUUCAUCUCUACUGCAAGACUCUGCGAAACAUUUGCAUUGGCACAGAAAAGUGGCACCACGACAGGACAAUACCCUUGCCCAAGCUUGACUCCCACUGGCUGAUCAUUGGCGCAGCUAAGGGAUGUGUACUUUUACAAGCGUCCCAGUUCACCAGCUCUUCGCAAGAAAUGGAAGCAACACAGUAUUUCACAUUGGAUCUCAAGACAUUUCUGGUUGAGAGACUGUCUCUGUCGAAUCAGCCCAUUGAGAUUAAUAAUCAAGCUCACCUGUAUGCAAGCUUCCCACCACCAUUGUCGCUGCCAUGUAUAUGAAGUGGUCUCCUCUCUUGACACACGGACUGGGACUUCUCAAGGGGACAGCAGUGCGGGUUUGCAACGUCUAUCUGAUGGUUUGGGAGUGCCGUGCAAGACAGCGCAGCAGUUGAAAAGAUAUCAGCAGCUAAUGGUAAUUUGUGACACCUAUCUGUAGAUUGAUCAGUGAUGAGCAGAUUCUUGGCACUUCAAUUUCUGCUUUCCCGUUCCUCCCUUUUGCCCGUAUCUGCAUUCUGUGACCAUUGUGCCUGUGACAGAGGCACCGAGGCAUGUCUCCAACUGCUGAUGUCUGCUCUUACUUGUCUACAACUCCUAUCAGUCAUGUUCCUACCUUUCCCCCUUGUGAUGUAUUGUGGCGAUACUCGGUCGUCAGGCUCCCCUCGUGUAUUCUUAUAAGCUUUUAGUUUGCACUCACGGAGGUCUGACCAAUGGUCUCCUGGUAGUGAUGUGAAUGGUCAUUAGUUCA